rnacentral:rRNA from 1 species
UACGGAGGGUGCAAGCGUUAAUCGGAAUUACUGGGCGUAAAGGGUGCGUAGGCGGUUCGUUAAGUCUGUCGUGAAAUCCCCAGGCUCAACCUGGGAAUGGCGAUGGAUACUGGCGAGCUAGAGUGUGUCAGAGGAUGGUGGAAUUCCCGGUGUAGCGGUGAAAUGCGUAGAGAUCGGGAGGAACAUCAGUGGCGAAGGCGGCCAUCUGGGACAACACUGACGCUGAAGCACGAAAGCGUGGGGAGCAAACAGG